ensembl:lncRNA
GAGUAGGGAGGAAGGAGGGGGAGAGACAGAUUAGAGGAGGGAGAGAGGGUGGAGAGGAAGAAGAGAGGAGAGACAGAUUAGAGGAGGGGAGAGACAGGUUAGAGGAGAGGAGAGACAGGUUAGAGGAGGGAGAGAGGUUAAAGGAGUGAGAGAGGGGUUAGAGGAGAGGAGAGACAGGUUAGAGGAGGGAGAGACAGGUUAGAGGAGAGAGGGGUUAGAGGAGAGGAGAGACAGGUUAGAGGAGGGAGAGACAGGUUAGAGGAGAGGAGAGACAGGUUAGAGGAGGGAGAGACAGGUUAGAGGAGAGAGGGUUUAGAGGAGAGGAGAGAGGGGUUAGAGGAGAGGAGAGACAGGUUAGAGGAGGGAGAGACAGGUUAGAGGAGGGAGAGACAGGUUAGAGGAGGGAGAGACAGGUUAGAGGAGACAGGG